UUUUUUUUUUUUUUUUUUUUGCCAUUUCCCACGCCGUUUCUCCACCCCCCGGAUGCUGCUGCCUUUCUGCUUAUGCAGAUCCAGCCCCCCAAAAUGAGCUUAAAAACCCGCCGGGGUCAUUGCUGCCGGCUCUCCGGGCUGGGGAGCAGGCAGCGAGGAGCACCGCGGACCGACUGAAAUCUGCAUUUUUUCCACCCGAUCCUGGCGCCGUCACCGAAAACCACCUGGGUCAGGAGCAUCAGCGACAUCUCCUUUUUUUCUGGAGCAAACUGCACCUUCCCAGCACGCCGAUCCGCCCCGUUUGCCAGCGGACGCAGCCCUCCCGGUGCCGCGAGGGAGGAUGGAUGAUGCCAGGGCACUGGAGCCGUAAAAUGGGAUUUAACCCCCUUAAAAAGAAAGGUUUUUCUUUGCCCAGAGAGUGGAAAAAGCAAAAAGCAAAGACAGCAGCGCAUUGCACCAUGCAAUUCCUUGCUGCGAACCCCGAGGAUAAGGCAGGAGCUGCCGCAAAGGGCGGUUGCACCUGCUGGAAAUGCACAAAAAUUGCACAGCAUUUACCAGCAAAAAUCAUCCACCGCAGACACGGAGGCUCUUCGAUCCCGCCGAGCCAGGCGAGCGGGGAUUUCGGCACGUGCGUGUCGCAGGUGCGUUAAAAAGCAAAUCCAUGCUGGAAAAUGUUCUUUUUCCUGGGAAAGAUGCACCGUAUCCACAGGCUGCUGCACUACAGGAUGCCCUAAACCCCUCCAAUCCUUGCAAAAAGGGGUGAUCCGCCAGGAUAUAUCGCAAUAUAAAGGAAUGCAUCACCAGCAAGGGAUAUAAAGGAAUAUAUGUUGCCCUGGGAAUCGCUUUGGGAAUUUAUGCUUCAGGGCACCCCAGCUUGCAGGGUGCAAGGAAUUAACGCCGGGAUUUCGCGGUGCUCCGGCCCGUGACAAAACCCCCCGGCGGCUCCAAAUCGCCGCCCGCAACGGAGAAAUCGCGGCUGGAGGCCCAGUGCCGAAAGCGUCUUUUCCUGCGGAUGAGGGAUUUUUGCACCGCCCUGUGGCACCGUGGGUGGUGCUGGUGGUUGGUAUCACGGUGAUAAACUCCCUGACAAAAACAGCUGCUGCAAGCCGCGGAGAGGAGAGGAACGCCUUUUUCCACAAAAAAAAUUCUCCCCCCCCCCCCAUCCUGGAUGCAAAAAAUUCAUCGCAAAUGGUGCAACGUUGCCAAGAAAAAGCCAGGGAUUUCUCUGCUUUUGCACCCUCUGCAGACCGAGUUCACUACGCAAAAGCCUCCAAAGAAAUGGUUUUGUGCAAAAAACCCACCACUGCUUCAGUCCCCGGUUUAGGCUUUAGCGAGGUCAUUAGCCGCUUUGUGCGUGCCUCUAAUUGGGGUUUCCACCAGAGCAGCAGCAUCUGUACAAAUCCAGCAGGACAACGCAGCAGCAGAACGGGAUUUUCGGCACGCGACGAGCAUUUCAAGGCCUUUUUUGCCCCAAAACAGGCCGCACGGCAGGGAGGUAAAGCAGCGGCCCAGCCCGUCCUCCCGCCGUGCAUUUACUGCGUUGCAGCAGGGCUCUCGCUGGCGAGGGAGGUUUUGUGCUACCGCGCACCGCUGCGUGUUUAUGCCGAUGCACGGGGAUGCAUGCCAUGGCCAAAAUAGGCAGCAACAGCGCCGUCCUGGGGCAAAACAGUGGCUUUUUGGGUGCGAGGGGGAAGAAAUAAGAGUGCAAAAGGGGGAAGUUCCCCCCCGGUGGCAUUUUGUACUGCAGUAAAUCACUGGGUGCUGCUGCUGGUACUGAUCACUGUGAAACACACCCAGACAAAAACCCUCCCCAAAACGGCUGCAGGAAAAGCGUUCAAUUGGGGCCAAAGCACGGGAGGAACACAAAAUCUGCAAGCAAACCUAAGGGGAAACAGGAAAACCCGCCUGAUCCUGCAAAAAUAAUAAAAUCCCAGCACGAGGUGCUGCAAUCCUGGCAACUUCCAGAGAAAUCCCUGCAGGAAACGCAUUGCCACAAGGUGCGAUCCUAGCAAUUCCUUCGCUAUUUCUUGCGCAAAACCACAAAACACAGCUUUCAGGGAAGUUAUCACAACGCAAACACACCCCAAUUAGCUAUAUUGCAGUUAUUCAAUCAGUUAUAGCAUUGCCCACAUAAUCAAGGCUUGGUGCAAAUAGAAAAACGCAAAAAAAAGUCAUUAAAUGCACUCUAAUUAGCAAUAAAACCAAUUAUAUCCCUGCAGCAAAGACCAGCCGGGUGAGCUUGCAGAGAGCUCCCGCUGGCUCAGAGCGGCACAGCUCCCAGCUCUUAUUUGAAAUAAUUUCUCCGCUUCGGUGAUUUUUAAUGCCCCGGAGAGCUGGGGGUUAACGCCAAACCGCACGUUUGCAUCGCUCACGCCGGCGAGAAACAGCAGCUUUCAACCGAAAAGCGCAGCCCCAGAGCCCCCACCUCACCCGGCACCGGGGGCUGCUGGGAGCCACCAGCCCAAGGGAUUUGGGGGAGAAGCAGCUCAAAAAAAAGCAUUUUAGCAAAGUGUUUUGCAGCCGCUCGUAUCGCAGAAACGCAAGAGGGGAAAAUAAGAGACGAAGCAGCAGCGUUGCAGCCGCCACUGCCCAGCGCGACACAAAUCAGAGGAUUUAAAGGACCCGGGGAUGCUCCAACCACUACUGAGGGGGCAAAACAUGGAGAAAAAAACAAAACUUGCCAAAACCCCCCCAAAAUGAGGCUCGGCCAACAGCCCCCCAUUCACUGUUGCAUUUGAACCCCACAGAUUUUGCAAAAAACCCCCAGUGGCAGCAGCCAGAGGGGACUUGGCUGCCUGGAAGACCCCAAACAAGGGCAUUUGCUUCCCUUAGAAACAAGCAGAUAAAUGCAAUUAUGGGCAGGGACCAAAAUUGCAGAAACACAACCCAAAAGAGCAGCAAAACAGGGACCGGCAGAGCACUUACCUUGCAAGGUGCAGAGCAGCCCCAGCAGCACUGUGCAUACCCAAAAGCCAAAUUUUGGGAGCCAAACAGCUCCCAGGAGCCGUUUUCCAAGCUUUUAAGCCCAAAGGCAGCCCUCCCUCCCCCCCCCCCCCCCCCCCCCCGCAGGUGCCGGGCAUCAGGGCAGCGCGGGGUAAAAAUGGGCUGCGCUGGGGAAAAUGGGGGAUUUGCUUAAUUUGGUGCUGCUGCACUUCUUGUAGCAGGGAAAGGAGGUAAAACUGUUAUUGCUGCUUUUUGGGGGCAAAUUGGCUUGAUUUACGGGGAAAAGGGGGACCUGAAGCAUGUCUGGCUGCAUGUCCCCCCUUAUGCUGCACAAACCUGGGUGCAUCUGAGAGCAGUUCCUGGGUUUUUGGUGUGCUUUAGCCUUGCUUGCUGGUGUUUCUGCUUUUUGGAGCCUCACUUCGUGGCGUUUGCUGGAGAAAAGCGGAUUUUGGCAGCUCUGGGGCCAGGUGCUUCCUCCCAGGGCUGGAGGUUUUCAGCCCGGAGCUGUUGAUCGCUGCUGGCUUUUCCUCCUGGUGCCCCUAUUUCUGUGCAAAUUGGGUGUUUAAGGGCGAAUAGAGGGAGGGGGGGAAUCGUGCUGGCACAAAGCUCUGUAAAGAUCAAUAAGUUGAUUUUUGCAUCGCCCCAGGAAAGGGUUUUUCCUCCUCUGUGGCAAAGUGCAAGAACGGAGGAAAAAAAUAUAUCUUUUCCCCCACAUUUCUUAAUUUGCAGCAUGCCCAGAGCUGCGGAGAAGGGGGGGGGGGGGUCCCUUUCCUCCUCCCCAAAACAUUUGCACGAGCGGCGCCCAAAACUUGCAAUAACUUGCAGUAACCAGGUAUUGGGGAGGAAUUGCGUUUUCCCAAGGGGGUGCGCGAAAUUGCUGGUGCAAAGGGGGGGAAAUAGGGGCAAAAUUGCUGGUGCAGCGGGUGCAAGGGGGGUGCAAGAAAUUGCUCUUGCAAAGGGGGUUCAGAAAAGGCAAAACUGGGCUGUUAAAGUGUUUUUUCCAGGCGGGCGCGGUGCUUCGGGGCUGGGAGGAGGGAAAAGAAACGAUCUGCGUGAGAAAAGGGUGGAAAUGCAGCAAACGAGCAUCCCCCAAAGCGAAAUAAACAAAAAAAGGAGGGUGAUGGGCGAGGGAAGGGCUAUUGCAGAGCGCCGAUUUCCCCCUGUUUCGCCCCAUUUCGCUGCCUCGGCAGCGCUGGUUGGGUUUUGGGUCCCAAAGGGGCGAUGUGGCUGCGGCCGGCGGGUUUCGCUGCGGUGGUUUUUUUACUAUUUUUUUUUUUAAAUUGUGUUUUGCAGAACAGACUGGGGGAAGGGGUGGAAAAGAGGUGGAAAAGGGGUUUUGGCGGCCGGGGCGGCGGCGGCGCGGCACUGUGCUUGUCCUAGCAGGAUUGACGCCGUGGGCCAGGGGACCGUGGUCACCGUGUCCUCAGGGAAGCCGGCAAGAGGCAGCGUCUACCCCAUCGUGCCUUGCUGCAGCGCCGGCGCCCCGGGCACGGACGCCCUCCUGGCCUGCCUGGCCACGGGCUUCAGCCCGGGCAGCGGCAUCAAGUGGAUCCUGCCGGAGUCGGGCAGCGCCGUCUUCAUCCUCCCGCCGCUGCCGCCGCCACCCCGCCAGGACGUGGCCGCCGGGACCCACCUCAUGGUGCUGCGGGACCCGGGGCGCCGGCAGGCGCUGAGCUGCAGCGUGACCUUCGGCGACAGGCAGACCAUGUCCAAGGCCUUCCCGCCGGACGCGUGCGGGGCGGCGCGGCCGUCCUCCCGCGUGCACCUGGUGGAACCGCCGUGCCCGGCGGCCGAGGGCCCGGCGCCGCCGGAGCUGGUCUGCAUUGUCUGGGGCUUCGGGAGCGGCGGGGCGGCGGCGGCGGCGACGACGUGGCUGCUCAACGGGCGGGAGACGGGCCUGGAGGCGCGGGUGUCCCUCGGCGAGGGCGAGGACGGCUCCGCCAGCAGCUACAGCCGGCUGGAGAUCACCCGCGAGAGCUGGGACGCCGGCGACGUCUACACCUGCAAGGUGACCUACUCGGGCGGAGACGGGGCCGUGGAGAUGCACAACAGCAGCAAGUGCCAGGCCUGCCUCAGCGGCUCGAUGACGCCCCGGCUGUACGUGACCCAGCCGUCCUUCGGCGACGCGCUCGCCGGCAAGGCCGUGGCCAGCUGCCUGCUGCUGGGCUGGCACCUGCGCGGCGCCAAGCUCUUCUGGCAGGCGGGCGGGAGCCGCCAGCCGGAGCGGCCCGUGGGGACCGUCACCCCGCACGCCAACGGCACCGAGAGCCUGCUCACCACCUACCCCGUCUCCCUGGAGCAGUGGAAGGCCGGCCUGAGGCUCGCCUGCCACGCCGACGUCCCCUGCCACGGCAGCAUCUCCGAGGAGCUCGCCGUGGGGCCGGCACCGGGCCCGAGGAAGGUGCCGGUGGUGACCGUCUCCCGCGCCGUCCUCGAGGGCUCGGGGACGAGCGUCCCGGCGGCGCGGCUGCUCUGCGAGGCCAGCGACUUCUCCCCGCGGGACAUCAGCGUGCGCUGGGAGGCGGAGGGCGCCGAGGAGCCCCCCGAGCGCUACGAGAGCGGCCCCGUGGCCGGCGACGGCCCCUUCUACACCCACAGCCUCCUCCGCGUGGCGGCCGGGCGGGAGGCGGCCAACUACACCUGCGUCGUGCAGCACCCGGCCGCGGAGCAGCCGCUGCGUGUCACGGGCCGCGCCGGUGUCCCCAGCCCCCAGCGCCCGCGGGUCUCCGUCUUCCUCGCCCCCGGCGGCAGCGGCGGCGGCGGGGAGCUGGCCUGCUUCGCCGCCGGUUUCCACCCGCCCGGCGUCGACAUGCGCUGGGAGGCGGCGGGCGGCCGGCGGCUGGACUGCGCCGGCGAGCGGGUGGCCCUGGCCGACGGCACCUUCCAGCAGCGCUGCACGGCCACGCUGGGCGCCGAGGAGUGGCGGGCCGGCGGCACCUACGCCUGCACGGUGACCCACGGGCCGUGGGCGGAGGAGAAGUCGCUCGCCCACCCCGGUUGCCAGACGCCGCCGCCGUCCUCGUCCUCGGUGCAGCCGCCGCCUUUCCGGGAGCUCUUCCUGCGCGGGGCGGCCGAGCUGACGUGCAGCGGGCCGCGGGGCAGCGCCGUGCUGGGCUGGCUGGUGCAGGGGCGCCCGGCCGAGCCCGGGGCCGUGCGGACGCAGCCCGGCGCCGAGGGCGGGGGGCCCCGCAGCCGGCUGCGCGUCAGCCUGCGCCAGUGGAACGACACGGCCCGCUUCGCCUGCCGCCUCCGCAGCGGCGCCGAGGAGACGCGGCUGGAGCUCAGCCGCACCACGGGCCCCUUGAAGCCGCCGACCAUCCACGUGCUGCCGUCGUCGGUGGCGGAGGCCUGCGGCAGCCGCAACUUCACCCUCUUCUGCGUCGCCGACGAUUUCUACCCGCCGGAGGUCGCGGUGUGGUGGCAGCGGGGCGGCGGGGGGGGCCCGGCCGGCGAGGCCGUCGCCCCGAGCUGCGACCACGAGGCCCGGCGCUGCUCGGCCGUGGCCAGGCUGGAGGUGGCCCGCAGCGAGUGGGCCGGGGGGGCCUCGUACGGCUGCUUCGCCGCCCACAUCGCCGCCGCCGCCGUGGCGGAGAGGACCGUGGACGCCGACACCGGCCUCUGGGACUGCGGCGUCCCGCCCCCGGUGCCCUGCGGGCUGCUGGCCGACGGCGACGACGCCGAUCCCGAGGACACCGACGGCGCCUGGACCUCCUUCUCCACCUUCGUCGUCCUCUUCCUCGUCCUGGUCUUCUACAGCGGAGUCGUCACGUUCAUCAAGGUGAAAUAACGCCCAGCGCCGCCCGCGCGCCCCGAGGCCCGUCCCAACCCCUCCUCGGCCGCCGGCCCGUCGGAGCCGUGCGCCCGCCGCGCGUUUCCCCUCUGCCCGCUGCCUUCCCGGGCCGGAGCGCCC